UGGGGAAUCUUGGACAAUGGACGCAAGCCUGAUGACGCAACGCCGCGUGGGGGAUGAAGGUCUUCGGAUCGUAAACCCCUGUCGAAUGGGACGAAAGACUCGCGAGUGAAUACUUCGCGAGAGUGACGGUACCGUUAAAGGAAGCCACGGCUAACUCUGUGCCAGCAGCCGCGGUAAUACAGAGGUGGCAAGCGUUGUUCGGAAUUACUGGGCGUAAAGGGCGCGUAGGCGGCCCUCUAAGUCAGACGUGAAAUCCCCCGGCUUAACCUGGGAACUGCGUCUGAUACUGGAGGGCUUGAGUAUGGGAGAGGGAUGUAGAAUUCCAGGUGUAGCGGUGAAAUGCGUAGAUAUCUGGAGGAAUACCGGUGGCGAAGGCGGCAUCCUGGACCAUUACUGACGCUGAGGCGCGAAAGCUAGGGGAGCAAACGGGAUUAGAUACCCCCGUAGUCCCUGAGCGGGCUGGCAAGGCGCAU
rnacentral:rRNA from 1 species